CUCUAUGUCACUUUGACAGCACACAAUGAGUAGCAUGUGCUGUCAAAGUGACAUAGAGAUUGGGUGCUACUCAUUGUGUGCUGUCAAAGUGACAUAGAG
rfam:Biomphalaria glabrata isolate BB02 unplaced genomic scaffold LGTN_random_Scaffold10287, whole genome shotgun sequence.